rnacentral:rRNA from 1 species
AACGAACGCUGGCGGCAUGCCUAACACAUGCAAGUCGAACGAAGGCUUCGGCCUUAGUGGCGCACGGGUGCGUAACACGUGGGAAUCUGCCCUUUGCUUCGGAAUAACAGUUAGAAAUGACUGCUAAUACCGGAUAAUGUCGCAAGACCAAAGAUUUAUCGGCAAAGGAUGAGCCCGCGUAAGAUUAGGUAGUUGGUGGGGUAAUGGCCUACCAGGCCGACGAUCUUUAGCUGGUCUGAGAGGAUGAUCAGCCACACUGGGACUGAGACACGGCCCAGACUCCUACGGGAGGCAGCAGUGGGGAAUAUUGGACAAUGGGCGAAAGCCUGAUCCAGCAAUGCCGCGUGAGUGAUGAAGGCCUUAGGGUUGUAAAGCUCUUUUACCCGGGAUGAUAAUGACAGUACCGGGGGAAUAAGCUCCGGCUAACUCCGUGCCAGCCGCCGCAGUAACAC